rnacentral:lncRNA from 1 species
GGGUAGUUGAUUCUUUAGAAGUAUUUGGAGCAACCAAAAUUGAAGUGAGAACACGAUACUUCACUGGUGUGUCCAUACAUAUGUCUAUAUAUACGGUGGAACUCCAAGUGAGUAUGAAUCAAAUGAAUGAUGCCCCAAGAGCUCAUGUGCAUUUCAAAAUGUUCUAUUCCUCCCACAUUCAGCCAACUGGAGUAUCCUGCUCUCCCUUCUAGAGGUUCUACAGUUCAAUCGUAUGUUACAAAUCAGGUGCUUGCAUUCUGUUGUAUCAAGAUGUGUAAAUAGUUAGUAAGUUGUCUAUUGGUUACCAAGUUCAUUGACUUAUGAAGGAACUCUAACUCACGAAAGUCUACAUGGAAUGAGUUCUGUAGUUCUCAUAUAUUUUUUACUAAAAGAAAAAUGAAUUUACUUGGUUCAUCUUUUUGUUCUGUAGUAAUCGAUCAUAUCAUAUAGUUUUGAAGGAUCUGACAUUUUAAGUUGUCUAUAAGUAUGCAUGCUUGGGACAAGGGUGGAUGAAAUAUCAAUUGGGAUUAGUAGGGUGUAUUUUUACUUGGUGUGUCCACGCGUAUGUUUGUUACUGAUCAUACCAAUAUAUAUCUUCUAGAACUGAUGGUGAGUUGUAUGUUACUCUGUGUUGUGUAUAAUGGAUUCUUUCUUGCCUAUUUUCCCUGUCAUGACAAGGUUUCAAUAGCGUAUCUCCCGUAGCAACGCACGGGCGAAGGAGGCAGUUGUCACCGACGGCGGGGCCGAAUGUGUUGGACGCGCACACUCGCCCGCAGUCAACGCAGACAUACUUAGCGACCGUCCAUGGCGGCGAGUGGCUCCGGGGGGUGGCGACGGGGUUGGGUGGUUCAAGCGGCCACUUCUGCAGCUACAUGGGAUUUCUUCAGGACCAUCAGCAG